AAUGAUUUACUUGAACGCUUUUCAUCAUAGGUCAUAUGGAGCUUUUUUACACUUAAAAAGACUCCAUAAUCUCUAUAGUGGAUUUACCCAUUAUAGAAAUUAUAGAGCC
rnacentral:ncRNA from 1 species